GGGAUUUGAACCCAAGCAGAUCUGCAUAGCCUCUGCACCUGCCCACGAGGCUUCACUGACUCUCGAGGAAACAAAGAGAUGUUCCAGGACUUGAACGAAUUUGGAACUGUUCCAGAGCUCAUUGUUCUCACCUUGUGGCAUAACUUAGGUAGUAGGGCAACUCCCUUACCCUUGCCUGGACUCUUACUAUCAAAGCCCUCCAUUGAUAAGGUCUAGGCCGACCACACCCUAAAGCAUUUCUUGUAUGUAUGGAUUUGUUUCUUACCUAUACCUGAAGAAUGGCGCUGGUGAGGUACCACCUUUGGGAGAAUUGAGAACAUCAUCCCUUAGGUGUGUGAAGUGACACAGUAGGAAGACGGG
rnacentral:lncRNA from 1 species